rnacentral:tRNA from 2 species
GACCGAAUAGUUCAAAUCGGAUAGAGCAACUGCCUUCUAAGCAGUAUGUUGUGGGUUCAAAUCCCACUGCGGUCGCCA